rnacentral:rRNA from 1 species
AUACGUGGGGGGCAAGCGUUAUCCGGAUUUACUGGGUGUAAAGGGAGCGUAGACGGUUCUGCAAGUCUGGAGUGAAAGCCCGGGGCUCAACCCCGGGACUGCUUUGGAAACUGUGGAACUGGAGUGCAGGAGAGGUAAGUGGAAUUCCUAGUGUAGCGGUGAAAUGCGUAGAUAUUAGGAGGAACACCAGUGGCGAAGGCGGCUUACUGGACUGUAACUGACGUUGAGGCUACGAAAGCGGUGGGGAGC